rnacentral:rRNA from 1 species
AUUGAACGCUGGCGGCAUGCUUUACACAUGCAAGUCGAACGGCAGCGCGGGCUUCGGCCUGGCGGCGAGUGGCGAACGGGUGAGUAAUGCACCGGAACGUGCCCAGCAGUGGGGGAUAGCCCGGCGAAAGCCGGCUUAAUACCGCACACGACCUGAUGUUGAAAGCGGGGGAUCGAAAGGCCUCGCGGCAUUUGAGCGGCCGAUGUCGGAUUACCUAGUUGGUGUGGCAAAGGCUUACCAAGGCGACGAUCCGAAGCUGGUCUGAGAGGACGACCAGCCACACUGGGACUGAGACACGGCCCAGGCUCCUACGGGAGGCAGCAGUGGGGAAUUUUGGACAAUGGGGGGAACCCUGAUCGAGCCAUGCCGCGUGCGGGAAGAAGGCCUUCGGGUUGGAAACCGCUUUUGUUCGGGAAGAAAUCCUCUGGGCUGAAACCCCGGGGGGAUGACGGUACCGUAAGAAUAAGCACCGGCUAACUACGUG